GCAGCUGCCCGAUCCGCCGUGGUGUUGUUGUUCAAUAUAGAGCCCAAAUCGUGAGGGAACUCCUAUAGCUGCUUUUUGACGAAGAGGAUAAAUCAACUCCAAAGUAGAUCGACUAGUACGAGAGAGAGUUAAAUCGGGAGCAACGAGUAUUACUAGAUAACACACGGGCACAGGAGGCGGAUUAAAAAAAGAUGGCAAGGCCACGUCCUGGAGAUGGAGCUGGAUACGAACAUGGAUUCUCCAAUCCAACAACGACCUGGAG
rnacentral:lncRNA from 1 species